rnacentral:rRNA from 1 species
UACGUAGGGGGCAAGCGUUGUCCGGAUUCAUUGGGCGUAAAGAGCUCGUAGGCGGCUUGGCAAGUCGGGUGUGAAACCUCCAGGCUCAACCUGGAGACGCCACCCGAUACUGCCAUGGCUAGAGUCCGGUAGGGGACCACGGAAUUCCUGGUGUAGCGGUGAAAUGCGCAGAUAUCAGGAGGAACACCGGUGGCGAAGGCGGUGGUCUGGGCCGGCACUGGCGCUGAGGAGCGAAAGCGUGGGGAGCGAACAGG